ACAAAGACUGUGUGUCUCCGGAAGUAUGAUAUCACAAGUCCUGUUACAGACAGUACACCAGGUUCUUGACAAAGUCUACUGGAACAAAUACACAGACCUCAGAAGAACAAAAUGAGCCAACCUAUGAUGUCAGCUACAAGAUCUUCUCUGAGAGAAUCAUCUGCCAUCGAAUAAUUGUAAACCAAGAGGUGAUGACAAUGACACGGCUAAGAAGAAUGUUUUUAAAUCUUGUAAAAAGCCAUGAAGAUCUUGAUGCUUCAAACUACAGGCAGGAUAAAUUGAAGAGGAGGCUUUCCCGUGAUUUCCCCCAGCUGGUGUUUCACUCUCCCAACAAGCGCAACAUCAGUGAAUUGGUUUUUGUUGAGACACUUUCUGCAGAUAAGCUGGUAGACAGAAUACCUCAUCCAUCAGGUACAGAAACAAUUUUGUGAUAGACAAGUAUCCAGAAAUUAGUAUUAAAAAUGUAGAACGAUCACGCAGAGCUGUUGGUGGCACA